rnacentral:rRNA from 1 species
AUACGUAGGGGGGCGAGCGUUGUCCGGAUUUACUGGGCGUAAAGGGUGAGUAGGCGGUUGCAUAUGUCAGAUGUAAAAGGCACAGGCUCAACUUGUGUUAGCAUUUGAAACUGUGCGACUUGAGUGCAGGAGAGGUAAGUGGAAUUCCUAGUGUAGCGGUGAAAUGCGUAGAUAUUAGGAGGAACACCAGUGGCGAAGGCGACUUACUGGACUGUAACUGACGCUGAGUCACGAAAGCGUGGGUAGC